GGCUCAGAUUGAACGCUGGCGGCGUGCUUAACACAUGCAAGUCGCGCGUGAAAGGACUUCGGUCCGAGUAAAGCGGCGCACGGGUGAGUAACGCGUGGAUGAUCUACCCAUGAGUUAGGAAUAACGGCUGGAAACGGUCGCUAAUACCAAAUACGCUCCGAUUUCAUCUUCGGGGGGAAAGGUGGCCUCUGCUUGCAAGCUACUGCUCAUGGAUGAGUCCGCGUCCCAUUAGCUAGUUGGUGGGGUAACGGCCCACCAAGGCGACGAUGGGUAGCCGGUCUGAGAGGAUGACCGGCCACACUGGGACUGGAACACGGCCCAGACUCCUACGGGAGGCAGCAGUGGGGAAUAUUGCGCAAUGGGCGAAAGCCUGACGCAGCGACGCCGCGUGAGGGAAUGAAGGUCCUCGGAUCGUAAACCUCUGUCAGGAGGGAAGAACCGCCACGGUGCUAAUCAGCCGUGGUCUGACGGUACCUCCAAAGGAAGCACCGGCUAACUCCGUGCCAGCAGCCGC
rnacentral:rRNA from 1 species